rnacentral:rRNA from 1 species
AGCUCCAAUAGCGUAUAUUAAAGUUGUUGCAGUUAAAAAGCUCGUAGUUGGAUUUGGGACUGGAGUCGUUCGGUCGGCCGCAAGGUCUGUUACUGAACGGCUCUGUCAUCACAUUCCCAGAGACCUGCCGUGUACUUAACUGUGCGCGGUACGGGAUUUGGGACGUUUACUUUGAAAAAAUUAGAGUGUUCAAAGCAGGCUUAUGCCGUUGAAUAUAUUAGCAUGGAAUAAUAAGAUAGGACUUUUUUGCUAUUUUGUUGGUUUGCGCAAAGAGGUAAUGAUUAAUAGGGACAGUUGGGGGUAUUCGUAUUCCAUUGUCAGAGGUGAAAUUCUUGGAUUUUUGGAAGACGAACUACUGCGAAAGCAUUUACCAAGGAUGUUUUCAUUAAUCAAGAACGAA